rnacentral:rRNA from 1 species
AGAAAUCUCACCAGGCCCGGACACUGGAAGGAUUGACAGAUUGAUAGCUCUUCCUUGAUUCGGUGGGUGGUGUUGCAUGGCUGUUCUUAGUUGGUGGAGUGAUUUGUCUGGUUAAUUCCGUUAACGAACGAGACCUUAACCUGCUAAAUAGUGACGCGGUUCAUCGAACCGUGGGCCACUUCUUAGAGGGACUAUCGGAUUCAAACCGAUGGAAGUGUGAGGCAAUAA